AUCGAGGAUGGAUGAAAAGGUGGCCUCUAUUUAUAAGCUAUCACUGAAGGAGGGGAUUGCGUCUGAUUAGCUAGUUGGAGGGGUAACGGCCCACCAAGGCGAUGAUCAGUAGCCGGUUUGAGAGGAUGAACGGCCACAUUGGGACUGAGACACGGCCCAGACUCUUACGGGAGGCAGCAGUGGGGAAUCUUCCGCAAUGGACGAAAGUCUGACGGAGCAACGCCGCGUGAGUGAUGACGGCCUUCGGGUUGUAAAGCUCUGUUAAUCGGGACGAAAGGCCUUCUUGCGAAUAGUUAGAAGGAUUGACGGUACCGGAAUAGAAAGCCACGGCUAACUACGUGCCAGCAGCCGCGGUAAUACGUAGGUGGCAAGCGUUGUCCGGAAUUAUUGGGCGUAAAGCGCGCGCAGGCGGAUUGGUCAGUCUGUCUUAAAAGUUCGGGGCUUAACCCCGUGAUGGGAUGGAAACUGCCAAUCUAGAGUAUCGGAGAGGAAAGUGGAAUUCCUAGUGUAGCGGUGAAAUGCGUAGAUAUUAGGAAGAACCCCAGUGGCGAAGGCGACUUUUUUGUCGAAAACUGACGCUGAGGCGCGAAAGCCAGGGGAGCGAACGAGAUUAGAUACCCC
rnacentral:rRNA from 1 species